rnacentral:lncRNA from 1 species
CUGUGAGUGACAGAUCGAAGUUGCUGAAACGAAAAGAAUGGCAAAAGGUUUGCAGAAGUUUUAAAGGUACGAUUUUUUAUCACAAUUUCUAUCCAAACACAAAGAUAAAUUCUAGUGGGAAUUGAAAAUUGUUUUAUUUACACUGUGCACGUUUAAAUAGAUUCCCAACAAUUUAUUCAUGUUGGAUGGAUGGAAUUAAAAGUGUAAAGGUUGGUCGGGCCACUUGGACCCCUAUAAAUGGCUCCACUUGGCUCGACCGGGCAGCCUAUUUAGACCGGCCGGCCUUUAUUUUUCUUUUUGUAUUUUCAGAAAAACAAAUGUGAAAAUGGAUGAUGUUGCAGGUGGAA